rnacentral:rRNA from 1 species
GAUGAACGCUGGCGGCGUGCCUAAUACAUGCAAGUCGAGCGAACGGACGAGAAGCUUGCUUCUCUGAUGUUAGCGGCGGACGGGUGAGUAACACGUGGAUAACCUACCUAUAAGACUGGGAUAACUUCGGGAAACCGGAGCUAAUACCGGAUAAUAUUUUGAACCGCAUGGUUCAAAAGUGAAAGACGGUCUUGCUGUCACUUAUAGAUGGAUCCGCGCUGCAUUAGCUAGUUGGUAAGGUAACGGCUUACCAAGGCAACGAUGCAUAGCCGACCUGAGAGGGUGAUCGGCCACACUGGAACUGAGACACGGUACAGACUCCUACGGGAGGCAGCAGUAGGGAAUCUUCCGCAAUGGGCGAAAGCCUGACGGAGCAACGCCGCGUGAGUGAUGAAGGUCUUCGGAUCGUAAAACUCUGUUAUUAGGGAAGAACAUAUGUGUAAGUAACUGUGCACAUCUUGACGGUACCUAAUCAGAAAGCCACGGCUAACUACGU